rnacentral:rRNA from 1 species
GACGAACGCUGGCGGCGUGGAUUAGGCAUGCAAGUCGAACGGUAUAUAUUCUUUCGGGAAUAUAGAGAGUGGCGAACGGGUGAGUAACGCGUAGGUAAUCUGCCUUCAGGCGGGGGACAACCCAGGGAAACUUGGGCUAAUACCGCAUGUGUCCGCAAGGAUAAAGCCGGCCUCUAUAUAUAAGCUGGUGCCUGGAGAUGAGCCUGCGUCUGAUUAGCUAGUUGGUGGGGUAACGGCCUACCGAGGCGAUGAUAAGUAGGCGGCUUUAACGAGUGGUCGCCCACACUGGGAUUGAGAAACGGCCCAGACUCCUACGGGAGGCAG